AUAAAAUGACACCAAGGCAUAUUAUAAUCAAAUUGCUUAAAACCAACGAUAAAGAGAAAAUCUGAAAAGCAGCCAGACAGAAAAAACACAUUAUACAGAGGAAAAGAUUCAUAAACUGAAGACCGAUAGCAAAAUGAUGUUCAGUUAAGCAAAUUCAACAUGUCUGAACCUUCAUAAAUUCGCCCCCAGUGAUGCUGUCCUGCAGUGUGAUCCUGGCCUCGGGAGACGUCUGUCCCCAGCAGAGCUAAUCACCUUUACUCUUUGGGUGAAAUUGAAACUGAUAAUAUUUUGAUGUCAACGCAUCUCAUUCAAGAGCUGAGCUGUGAAAUCCUACGAAGCCAUGGCAGGGCUUUCUGAGGUUAUCCAAUCCUAUCUGGUGACCGAUCCAGGAAAAGAGGAAAUGAAGCUGGCCCUCCUGUGUGGCUUGGGGAGAACCUAGAUAGAGCCUCAGAUCCUGGGCAUCGAUAUUCCACAUGGAUCCUGUUUGUACCUCUUGUAUUCACACCGGGGAAACUGCAAAGGGAAGACUGCUAAGUAAUGUAAGGGGGCCCGUGCCUGCACAAAUUCUUCCUAGCAGGCACACUGGGGGCCUUAGCAGCGUAUGUGUUGUGAGCGAGUAACACUUUGCAUCCGCAACGGACUUCAUGCCUUUCAGACAAUCUGCCAGACCAGUCCUAAUGGCAACCUUUUAAAAAAGGAUGACAAGUCCUUCUAGCAGGCUGUCACAUGUUGCCAGAUUAAAACAUUGUGUAAUUAUUUACAGGAGACGGUGGGGUGUCAGAUCAU
ensembl:lncRNA novel transcript, antisense to CPPED1